ensembl:lncRNA LINC01088 long intergenic non-protein coding RNA 1088
AGACAGAUUUCUUUUAACUCUUCUGCCCUGACUCCAGUCUUCACUGGGAUGCUGCCUUGCACUUAGGGAAGGUUCACAUGCCUCAAGGAUCUCUCUCUCUCAGAUUUCUUGACUUUCCCUCAGUCUUCAGUAUAGUCCUCCUCUGUGCCUGGUGAAGACCUGUGGUAAAGUGCUGGCAGAGAGGAAGCUAAAUCACGUAAAAAUUAAGAAACAGCUCAGCGUUUCACAGCUAAGCUGCCGGCUUCCCCUUGAAGGAAUAGGAGUAGACCUGCUGAACUAUCACAUGAGAGAAGAGGCCCAAAAGCUUGCACACUACAGUCAAGCUGGCCCUUAAAGAGAUGGACCUAGAAGAUGCUGAGCCAGAUGUACUCAAUUACUUCUCCAAAAUUCAUCAAUUAGGAAUACAACAUGUUUAAGACCACAGAACAUCUGCAUAGGCUGUAAAUUUCGUUGAAUGAUGGAUGCAAAGAUGGAAGACAGAUGGAUAGAGGAAAAGACAGAAUCAGAUACUGGAUGAGUUAGUACUGCUGCCUGUGCUUCAGAGCUGUCUUAUUACCACAAGGCCGGCAAGCAUCAAUGUCCCCACAUCCCCCUCUGCCUCCCCCUGAAAUGUACCGAUUUAUAUGAAAAUUAAGAUUACAAAUUAAAGCCUGGCUAUCCUGGAGUUUUCCAGUUCAUCAGCCAUCCAAUAAAAAUGAUGUCAAGCCUGUAUGCAUAAUUCCCGGAAGAUUACUUUCGUCCUUACAGCUAAGCCCUGUCCCUGAUAUGAAAGAUCUCUAUCCACUUUUAUUGAAAUAAAGAACUAACAUCAUAAUCCCAAUAUUGAGGUAUAAUCUUCAUUAUCUCCUGACCCUCUUGAGGUUCCCCCAAUCUAUAUUACUUCAGAUUUGGUUUAUGUGUAAUCCUUAUGUAUUUACUUUUAUUGAGAUAGGAUUAAAAACUAAAAAAAAAGCUUCAAAAAAUCCUUAUGAUCUCAUGAUUGAGUUUCAUUUCACCAACAAUCAACUAAUGUGUUAGACUGAGUUUUUUUUUAAGUGCUUCUUAUAGUUAUAUAGUCCAAGCUUGAAAAGGCAUUAAUUGGUCCCAUGUGUUUCCUGUUUCAUUACAUGAAUUAUUUCCAAUUCAACUUGGUUUGUGAAAUAAUGGCAUCAUCUUCUUUUCCUAUUAGAAAAGGUGUGGGAGGGGGAUGUAUGAAAAGAUAAGCAUACACAUAAAAUAAUCCAAAGUAACUUAAAUCUCUUUUCUUAGGAAGUUUUGAUUCAUACCUAUAGUUAAUUACUGGUAAACCACAAUCUACCAACCUUUUCUUUCCCCCAGAGCCUUAAUAGCCUCUGGCUAUGCCUCGGGCUGUUAACUACCAAACUAGUCAUUAAUGCUGGUCAAGAUGAUUUCUUGGAGAUUAUUGCUCAUUUAUUUUUUUAACAGACAAAACAGAAUUUGCUUUGCACAUGGACUAAAAUAAUACUUCAGCCAUUUUUUUCCUUUCAAAAACAUAAACACUGAUGAAAAUCACAUUGUACUGUGGUAUUUUCAAAGCAUUUCAUAUGUUAUUUUAGCUGUAUUUUCCAACUGAAAACUGGAUUUGCAAUGCUCAGGAUUUCCCUGGUAAUCAUCAUGUUUGCUUAUUGUUUGCUAUUAUAUUUGGUAAAACACAUCUUGAUUAAGAGAUUUGAUGUGUUCUCUAUUUACCUGUGCCUCUUAUUUUUACCUUUUGUCCAAGGAUAUGUUAGGAAGAUAUUUGUUUUUUUAGAAUUGAAAACAGGGUAUGGAAAUAGAAAUACUUCACUAUUGGCAUAAAACAGCACUGGAGUGUUUUCUUCUUAACGUAGUAUUUAUUG